CACGUAGGGUGCGAGCGUUGUCCGGAAUUAUUGGGCGUAAAGAGCUCGUAGGCGGUGUGUCGCGUCGGCCGUGAAAACCUGCAGCUUAACUGUGGGCGUGCGGUCGAUACGGGCAUCACUGGAGUUCGGCAGGGGAGACUGGAAUUCCUGGUGUAGCGGUGAAAUGCGCAGAUAUCAGGAGGAACACCGGUGGCGAAGGCGGGUCUCUGGGCCGAUACUGACGCU
rnacentral:rRNA from 1 species